AUGCUAUGCUAAUGCUGCGUGUACCAACACUCCUGGAAGUUUCACAUGUGUAUGCACCCCUGGAUACAUUGGAAAUGGAUUGACUUGUGCUGACAAUAAUGAAUGCAGUGCUACUCCUGGACCAUGUGAUGAUAAUGCUGCGUGUACCAACACUCCUGGAAGUUUUACAUGUACAUGCAUCCCUGGAUACAUUGGAGAUGGAUUGACUUGUGCUGACGAAAAUGAAUGCAGUGCUUUUGCACCAUGUGAUGAUAAUGCUCUGUGUGAUAACACUCCUGGAAGUUUCACAUGUAUAUGCAACACUGGAUACAUUGGAGAUGGAUUGACUUGUUCUGACGAAAAUGAAUGCAGUGCUUUUGCACCAUGUGAUGCUAAUGCUGAGUGUGUCGACACUCCUGGGAGUUUCACAUGUGAAUGCAACAUUGGCUACACAGGAGGUGGAUUGACUUGUACCCUACUUGAAAUUGAACCAUAGAUAUUGAAUUGUAAUAUAGAAUGAAGAAAGAUGCAUGCAGUGCCCCUUCGUACACU